rnacentral:rRNA from 1 species
UAGGGAAUCUUCCGCAAUGGGCGAAAGCUUGACGGAGCAACGCCGCGUGAGUGAUGAAGGUCUUCGGAUCGUAAAACUCUGUUAUUAGGGAAGAACAAAUGUGUAAGUAACUAUGCACGUCUUGACGGUACCUAAUCAGAAAGCCACGGCUAACUACGUGCCAGCAUCCGCGGUAAUACGUAGGUGGCAAGCGUUAUCCGGAAUUAUUGGGCGUAAAGCGCGCGUAGGCGGUUUUUUAAGUCUGAUGUGAAAGCCCACGGCUCAACCGUGGAGGGUCAUUGGAACCUGGAAAACUUGAGUGCAGAAGAGGAAAGUGGAAUUCCAUGUGUAGCGGUGAAAUGCGCAGAGAUAUGGAGGAACACCAGUGGCGAAGGCGACUUUCUGGUAUGUAACUGACGCUGAUGUGCGAAAGCGUGGGGAUCAAACAGG